UUUAAACAUUAAAAAGACGGAAACGCGGGCGAGACUUAGAAUAGUUUUAAUUUAAAAUUUCGGUACUUAAAAAUUUUCAUUCCAUAGUUGGCCUUUUUUUUUUAUUAACAUAUACGAUCUCUUUAUUGACUUGGAUGAUUACUGGAUCAGUUCUCCUUUGUCCUUUGACGAAUAAACAUCAAAAGUCUUUCAGGGUGUCUUUACUCCAAGGAUCAAUGAAUAUUUAAGAACAUCAUUGCAAUCGCCUGUAAAGUAAUGAUGUAAUCGAAAAUUUGUAUCGCUUAAAUAAGAAUAUCGCGAAGUAGGAGAAGUAUUCGUUCGCAUGCGUUUCGCAAUUUAAACGUUUUUGAUUUAAAAGUUUUUGCAUCGUCUGCGUGCAAUGCAGUCGUUAGAGUGUUUGUUCGCAAAGUUUAUUAAUUUUUUAACAGUCGCACAGAUUGUAUUUAUAAAAGACAGUAGUAGUUCGCGAAGUAAAUUCAGUGACCGUUCGUUAAAAAAUAACCAUCGCGUAAUAGAGUCAGUGCAUCAUUGAAGAGAUUCUUGAUCAACUUCGAUGUCGUCCUACCUAAUUUUCAACCACAUACGAAUCAUCCACUCUCAAUUUCGAUCUGAACGAAUGUUUUGGAGCCAUCGCAGAACUUCUUAAGUAAUCAUCGAGGGAUAGGUUCAUCUGCAGUCGGAUGCGUCGUCGCAUGGCUCGAUCCAUCAUCGAUUUUUACGCGCGAAUACGGGAAGAAUAGGAAGAACAAUGGCGCGUGGGCACAAGCGUGAGUGUUCUCGGGCGCGAUUAAACUACAUUUGAUUGCUCGUAUCGAAACCCCGAAUUGUAAAGUCACCGUUUUUCUAACACUCACGUGGGUGUUCGAGCGUGAUUAAAGGUCUUACCGUGGACUUCGUUUUAUUUCUUCAAAAUUUCGAUUAUAUCACUUCGCGAAUUUGAAUUUAACAGUAGAAUCAACGUUAUUGUAACAUACAUGUGAGUGUCGCGAAUGCGAUUAGUAGUCCUUAAAGAGUGCGCUUUGAUUGUUCGAAAUUCAUAAAACACAAAUUCAGUUGUGCUUAAUAAUCCGUUAUGUCUGAAGCAGACGGUGCAAAUGAUGGAGUUAUCUGUAAAAGGGGUCUCUGUAGCUAAGUCUACAUAUCUUCUGUUAGUUAAGAAGCCAUUGCACCCAAAACGGAAAGGUAUCGCGGAUUGGGAUCGCGGAUUUUAGAGUAAUGUAGAGUCAACCUUAGCCCGUGGGUCUCCACAUGCAGCAACUUCUACGUAGUGAGACCAGGGUCGGUAUUACUUGCAAACUCUAAUUAUAAAUCCUUUAACGCAAGUACUACCGAGCAAAUGGUUGCAUAUUUUAAGAUUUUUCCAAUAUCUUUUCAAUCUAAUUCCAACUAAACAUUAACGUACUCCGCUUUUACAUUGCUAAGCAGUUCAAAUAAAUAAAUGAUUAAAUAUAGUAGUAUUCUAAAAUAGUUUCUUAGAGAAAUGGACAGAUAACUUUUCUAUCGUACUUAUAUUCACAAUCAUUUCUAUUUAUUUUCAUCACCAUUCCUUUGGGAAGUAUUCUUCGGUCUGGAC